GCCUUCGUGGUGUAACGGUUAGCACACUCGUCGCGUAUUCAAGAGGUACAGGUUCGAGUCCUGCCGAGGGCG
rnacentral:tRNA from 1 species